rnacentral:rRNA from 1 species
GAUUGAACGCUGGCGGCAUGCUUUACCCAUGCAAGUCGAACGGCAGCGCGGGCUUCGGCCUGGCGGCGAGUGGCGAACGGGUGAGUAAUGCAUCGGAACGUGCCCAGUAGUGGGGGAUAGCCCGGCGAAAGCCGGAUUAAUACCGCAUACGACCUGAGGGUGAAAGCGGGGGACCGAAAGGCCUCGCGCUAUUGGAUCGGCCGAUGUCGGAUUAGCUAGCUGGUGGGGUAAAGGCUUACCAAGGCGACGAUCAGUAGCUGGUCUGAGAGGACGACCAGCCACACUGGGACUGAGACACGGCCCAGACUCCUACGGGAGGCAGCAGUGGGGAAUUUUGGACAAUGGGCGCAACCCUGAUCCAGCCAUGCCGCGUGCGGGAAGAAGGCCUUCGGGUUGUAAACCGCUUUUGUUCGGGAAGAAAUCCUCUGGGCUAAUACCCCGGGGGGAUGACGGUACCGGAAGAAUAAGCACCGGCUAACUCCGUG